rnacentral:lncRNA from 1 species
GUAGCUGCUCAAUUUUUAUGACAUGGGCUCAUUUCCUGCCUGGGAGAAUGUCAUGUCUGAACCACAAGGCAGCUCUCCCUCUGUCAGAUACCUAAGGUAGCUCCAGAUUGUCUGGUUCUCUGUGCAGGUGUCCUUUCAGUAACUGAAAGUGUUGAAGAAGUGGAAGAAUACAACUUUGGCUAUUCCUAUGGUCUUGAAGCAAGAGAAAACAAAUGCUCUUUGCAGCAGAUGUUCAAUGCAUUUUGAAAUAAUUUCAGACUGUCAGCUUUCAGGAACCCUGUACUUUGCUGAAGGAAGGAGCAUUUAAGCCUGUCAAGUUUCAGAUGCAGCCAAAUGAAAAUGGAUUUACUAGAGCCAUCCUUUCACUUUGAAUUCUGAAAACCAGAAACCUUCUCCCACAUUAUCUGUGGCAUAAUGGUAAGCAAGGGAGAGCUGUCCUCUUAGCUUAGAAACAGCCCUGAA